CGCCUCCUGCCCACAACAAUAUGGGAGGUCCCGCCUGCCCUGUGACCAAAAGUUUAACGGCCGCGGUAUUUUAACCGUGCAAAGGUAGCGCAAUCAAUUGUCUUUUAAAUGGAGACCUGUAUGAAUGGCAUAACGAGGGUUUAACUGUCUCUUUUUUCCAGUCAAUGAAACUGAUCUGCCCGUGCAGAAGCGGGCAUAUUAACACAAGACGAGAAGACCCUAUGGAGCUUUAGACGCCCACCAACUAUGAAAAGAGACCAGAUUAAUGGAAACCCAAACAACAUAGCCCUGGCACAAACGUCUUCGGUUGGGGCGACCACGGGGGAAAAUAAAGCCCCCAAGAGGACAGGGGAACACCCUAGAACCAAGAGUUACAGCUCUAAGUCACAAAACAUUUGACCGAUUAAUGAUCCGGCCUACGCCGAUCAACGAACCAAGUUACCCUAGGGAUAACAGCGCAAUCCCCUCCCAGAGCCCAUAUCGACGAGGGGGUUUACGACCUCGAUGUUGGAUCAGGACAUCCUAAUGGUGCAGCCGCUAUUAAGGGUUCGUUUGUUCAACGAUUAAAGUCCU
rnacentral:rRNA from 1 species